ensembl:lncRNA
UAGCAGUCCUCGGCCUCACCAGCAGCGCCCACUGCCAGCUGGAGGUCUUUCCUACAGCCCCAUGAUGGUCCCUUCGUCUCCAGCAGCUUACCGGCCGCACCGCCCUACUCAGAGCCCCGGUACGGGGGUGGGGGGUGGGCCGGGGCUCUGUCACAACCAGGGAGGGGUUACAACCUCCCCACUCGUGAGCGGGGGAGGGGCUGGGGGCGGAGGAGGGAUGCCGGGUGGGGGCGGUCCGACUGGCGGCGGCCUGCUGGGGAAUUUCUUCGGCAGUCGCAGAGGCAAGGUUCCUGGUCCCCUGACGAUGACAUCGCCCCCUCCUCAGGGUCCCCCGAGUCCCCUGAUGAUAUCAUCACCCCCCCAUUACCCCGCCCCCGCACCUCCCAUCCCCCACCCAUCCUCCCCUUCCCCAUGCCCCUCCCCAUCGGCCAACCUCGGGCCAUCGGACUCAGGAGGAGUUGGCGGGGGAGGAGGUACGGGAGGGGUACCGUCCAAGCUCCAGGCUUUGCACGCCCAGUAUUGCCACGGCAACAGUGGAGGAGGCGUAGUGAGUGUUACUGGGCACCAGCAGCAGCAGACUCCGCCCCCGCCCUACCACCACCAUCACCGCUACCACAUGCAGAGCGUCCCGCAGCACCACGCCCUUUCGCACAGGUUCUCCGCACCCCGACGGCAAGGUCCAUCCGGCUGCGCUCCCUCUCAUAUCCAGCAGCAUCAGAGGUUGCAACAUGGCAUCGCCCAGCACCCACGCUACAACAUGGCGUCCGGCUUCAACACGCCCCCACCACUAUCUCCGCACUCCCCCCUCACCCCCACUACCCCACACGGACUCUUCCACUCGCACCCCGUGGUGGGGCGACCGGGUGGAGGCGGCAAGCUCCCACUGACCAUCUCACACUCGCAGCCCCAUCCCCACGCUCACACUCACUCUCACAACCACGCCGUGCACACACACUCCCCGCUCAGCCCUUCCCCGUCCGUCUCCCAGUCCACCCACUUCAUCUUCUCCACCCCGCCACCCCAGACUCCCUCGGCACGCCUCGUCACCCAGACACCUCCGCAGCCUUAUACGCCUCAGUAUCCACCCCUCUCCUCCAUCCCACCUCCCCCUCCGCACUCGCCCUUACCUCCACCAUCGACCGCCCCUCUCUCACCGCACCCACCAGGGGCGGGGGGAGGCCAAGGGGGCGGUCCCAAAUCGAAACCCGUCAGCCGGAUCAGCACGGUCGUGUGAGGAGGCAGAAGCCAAGGACAGUGGUGCGCCAUCCUGCUGUCAGCCACCGAGGGGCAGUAGCAAGAGGGAGCAGGAGAGGGAGGAGGAGAGGAGGAGGAGCGGGAGGGCAAAUGCAGGUGUACCAAAAUGGCCACCUGGUGAGGAAGAGAGCAGUGAGAGCGGGAAGGAGGAAAUUACUCAGCCUGUGUUAUUUUCACAUCCACUUCCCACGCAGGUAGAAACUCUCUUACACACUGAAAGAUGUUUAUCGGGGAACUUGCACACUGCAGGGGCAAAUCUUCCUGGAAAACCUGCCCAUGGAGCAACAAGCACCAAGAAUCCUGGCAUUUUCAGUCACAUGAAGAUGAAGAAAACUCCCACAUAGUCCUGCUGUCUUGGUGAAAACGUCUUCAGCUUCCUUGCCCUUCAGCGGUGAGCUGGGACUCCGGAGGACAUGCUUGUAGUUCUUCAUUGACAGAAAGUGUUCAUGUCAUAUUGUGAGUACGAAUUUGUGUGUUGCUGUUGUGGACAAAUGGUUCAGGGACCAGACGUAAAGGGAACAGUGCCUGAGAACAUAACACACAAAGGUUAGCCCUCAAUGCUAACACUAUUUGAAGGGAUCGUUCAGAUUUUUUUUAGGUAGCCUAAGAACACAAAGAGUCCUGAUUCCAAAAAUCACAGUAGUCUUACAGCACCUUGUUUUCCGCACAAAAAGCACUUGUACCAUUGUUUUGGUUGUUGACAUAGUUAAAAGCCAUGAAUCGUUAAUGAGAAGCAGAAGUGGUUAGCAUUAAUAUGGUGCAGUUUCUGUGUCUUAGACAGGCAUGCAUGACCUGUGCAAUAGCUAAUGAGUGUCAGUGUAUCUAUGGUUAAAAUCCUAUAUGCAGAGGGAGGGAUUUGUUGUAAUUUAAAGCCCCGAUCCAGUGUGUUUAUUUGGCCAUGAAAAGUGAAGACUUUCUAAAUGGACAGAAAGCUCUCUAAAACCUUUAAAUAAGCCAUCAUAACAAAAACUACAGGUGUCUUUUUACCUUUGUGUUUUGCAAAAAUUACUAAAAGCCUUUGUGGAUUACAGGGUUUCAGCAGGGGGCGCAAUACUGUUGUUUUGGAUUGGGACUUUAAAAUUUUCCCAAUUGUUUAUUCUUGUAAGAUGGGUAUUUAUUUCAUAAUUUGUAUUAAACCUGUGAAAGCUCUCCCUACUUAUCAAGUAUAUAUAGAGUGUAAACCUCAAUUUGUAAGAAUUAUAAUCCAAUAUAUGUUAGCUGUAUUCAUGUUCCAUAUUGUAUGCGACCCUCUAUAGGCGUUUUCCACUGCAGGAAACCAGGGCGGACACAAGGUGGCACGAACAUAUACAGGAAUGGCCUUAUUAGCGGCCAUUUCAGCCUUUCUGUUUCCGUUGCUUUGUAGGAUCCAACAGCUUCUACUGCAAUGUUAACUAUGAGUGCACCAAAACAAUGACGAAUAAGCAGUGACUGGGUGUAACUCUAGUUCUAUGAGCACAUAGAAAAUAGAACAAUGCAGCUUUGUUAUGCUAGCCUAUGUGGUGUAUUUUAUGUUGAAAGGGGACAUUUGUUACUAGAUGAGGACAUAGAGAGAGCAGAAAAUUAUCACGUCUUGUCCCCCUAGUGUUAAACAAAUCAGCAUUUGUUUUCUUUGAGUUUAACAAAUUAACAUCGCAACCCAUAAAGCAGCUUUCAGAAAUAUUUUCAUGUACUUGUCAAAUGGGCCCGAAACAGGUUCUAAAGGGGCAGUUUCUGUGGUUGAAACCCACACUAAGGUUUAGGCCACCCCAUAAAUUGACACACAAGUUCCUGCAGUGGAAAACAGUCUAAUGUUGCCAGAGAAGGAGAUUACGCUGAAAGGUGCCAAACAGGGAAAUGCAGCCUUUGGUUUCAGUGGCUUGUCUGCCAUUAAUGAAGGCACUGAGCUGCAGUACAUAAGUAAAGUAAUCAAAGUGUCAUUUCAGGUUACAUUCAGCAAAAUCUUCUUAAAAUGAAUCUCUCUGUACCUUUCUCAGCAGGUAUGUUACCAGGACUGGAUGGGAAAUUAAAUUUUAAAAAGGUCAUAUUCCAUUUCUAAAUUCUAAUUCCAUGUCCUUAGAACCAGGCUGCACACCUCGGUACCCAACCUUUGCUUGCAGCGUACACGACCUCAACCCCUAUCCCUGCAGGAGACAUGCCCUUUGGAAGGUGGCUCCAUGUUGUUAAUUCGGUCUGUGCCCAGCUGAGCCCCAAGGUUUCAGGUUUGCCACCAGACCCUUACGGGCAAGCUGCCCUCCCAGGACAGACCCCAGGAGGGGGCUCGAGUUGCCUAUUCUGUGUAAGGUGCUACUACUCCUUUUUCAAUGUGCCCUGAGUUGAGGGUAAGUUACUGCCCCAAGGGAAUAGAUUUAAUAAUCAGGAUCUUGUUCACAAAUUAUGGUAAAUGGAGCAUGAGGUGGACAGAUUUAUUGGAGCAGAAUCAACUGCUGUGGUGAAGUAGGAGCUGAGCUGGAAGGCAAAGCCAGAACAUGUACCAGUUGGUAAGGGUUCCAAUCCUCACCUGUGGUCAUGAGCUUGGGGUAGUAAUGGAAAUAAUGAAAUUAAUGAUACACGUGGCUUAUUUGAGUUUUCUUUGUAGGGCGACUGGGCUCAGUGUUAGGGUAACACCAAUGGGGUGAGGAGCUUGGGCAUCUAACAGAGUCGCUGCUCCUUUUAAGUCCAAAAGGAUGCGGUUGAAGUGGUUCGAGAUUAGGAUGCCUUAUGGGCUCAAUUCCUUUCAGACAGCUGGGAGGACCCCGGUUGACCCAGAACUCAUUGGAGGGGAUUACAUAUCUCAGCUGGCCUUUGAAUGCCUCGGGAUCCCCCAGGAGGAGCUGGAAAACCAAAGAGAUCUACAUUCCAGCCCUCGGCUUUGGUCAUUAGCUCUGGGUAGUGUUUUAGUUCUGAGGUCAGAAGAUAAGUUCCAACUUUAUUUCAACAGCACAGACAAAGACUUUUCCAAUAGUUUUGGGGGGGAAAAAAUUAAAUAAUUUCCCACCCAGUCUAAACUGCUUUAGUGUCUCUCAAUAGUAAAAAAGAAAAACAAAAACUCUGGUGUACUCGAGGGUGAAUGAAGUUUAACCCAACAUUCCCCACUCAAUGUGUUGUGAAAUGGAAAAUAAGGUGCCUUCAGACAUACGAAUGGUACAAUGUAUAAUUAUUCUAAGAAUAUAAAGACAAUUCAGUGUCCAAAUCAGUAAUAUAUUGAUUGAUUGUGUCUGUUCACAAUAGAAAAUAUGAAGCCAUUUAUUGCAUUUUUAAAACCUGGCUGACUGACUGAGCCUUUUGCUUUCCUUGUCAUGGAAAAAAGACACAAAGGAACCUGAAACCUGGACCUCAUCAUAUCUUCUGGAAGGACUUGCUAACGUCUCACAGAACUGGAGUGCAGAACAUGUUUUCAAGGGAAAUAUUCUUAAAAUCAUCUUUAGUCAUUAUUUUUGCACUUUCAGUUUGAGCCUACCAUGCCAGUAUUAAUGUGUAUUUCCUUUUUCUGUUUAAUCAAGAUCAGCAGACGUCAGAGCAGGAAGCCCACUAUGGCUUGUAGAAAGUUCUUCCACCACUUGAACUAUGUUACCAGCCAUUUGUGUUUUUUGACAAGACAGAAAACUCUCAGUGCUGUUUGCUUUCCUGUCAUAGAGGCUAAUUUAGGCAGCCUCAUAUAAAUAUUUACCAGCGUUUAACUGGUGGAUGAUGGGAAAUUCCACUAAAUGCAUACAUCAAUGACACAUUUUUAGUUUCCCUGUGAUGACGUGAAUGCACCAACUGUAGAUAUUAACUGUACAGUGUGUUCUAUUUUCAAUGGGGCCAACAGCAUUGAUCUGUAACUGAGGUUCAGAAUUGCUUGAAUUAACAAAAUGUAUGCUCUAAAAACCAAAAGUUAAUGAGGGUUCUUCAGUCGAUCUUAGCAUCUUAGGGUUCCUCAGUAGUAAAACAAAACAAUAAAAAUCCCUAAGAUGUUUAUUUGUUUCUUAUUUUUCCUUUUUUUCUGGCAUUGGAGGUUUGUGGAAACGCUGUCAUAGAUUAUAAUAAUUGAUGGAGUUCCUCAGGGAACCAUCUUGGGUCCCCUGUUUAUUUCAACCUGAAGAACCCCUUUGACUUUUAGAGUGUGCUACUGAUAUUAUCAAUAUUGUUGUGUGACAAGCUUCUACUAACAUAACGUACUCCUUGGGCUGUUUUGUAUUUUUAGCAUUUUUAAUUUUGUUAUGUGCUUACGAUGUGAGAUGAUUUUUUUUUCUGAUUUGGGCAUCUUAUGGAAGUACUAAAUUUUUUUAAUUUUUAAUAUGUUUACAACGAAACCAACAAUUUUCUGUGACUAACAUAUAACUUGUUCUAAUACUUUUAAUACAGACUGUGAUAAUUACUUUCACUCAACAACCCACGGCAUGUUCGAGCAAACACACACGCCUGCACACCACUGAAUCAUCGCGAACCCUCUCACCAACCUUUUAAUGGAAACAAGCAACACUUCUGCUACCAAACAACAUACAAAUAAGCACUUCAUGCUGAGCUGCUAGGAUUUCUGGGUCCCCACCAUGUAUCUACAAAUGUCUGUGGAAAUAUUUUGCCUAUCAGCAAGGGCCUUACAGGAACUACAUCCACUCGAAUAGUUGAAAUGUCAAAAUGAAGUUCUCGAGGAGUACUGGAUCAAACCUACCUCGUAUAGGACUGCACAUUUCACCCUGUCCCAGUGCAUGGCCAAGCUAAAUCAAGCACAUCCUUAGUCACAUAUUAGAGGUCCAUAUCUGUGCUGUUACAUGUUGUAGCACAUCAGCUACAAACUGUAUAUACUUUACAUUACAAAGAAUCAUUUUCAAAAUCACCCCUACAGUUUACAGAUUUGCUACCUUCACUUGGCAUAGGACUGGACACUUGCUGCAGAUAGAUCUCCCAUCAAUAUUUAGAAAGGAUCCAGAAACUAAUGAAGUUGGAAAAAGUGUCUAGUUGCAAGUUGCUUCAAGUGGUUGGACUCUGAUAUAUCCACUUCCAGGUUUACUCUACCUACCUUUGGAAAGUGAGGAAUGCUGUAAGAUUUGACAGUUGGUUGCAGUAUAGCAAACUUUCAAUGCAAAAAAAAAAAAAACUCCUUCAUCAUUGUACAAAGUCUAUUUUUUAUUUCUUUGUUAACUGUAGAAUUGAUUUACUGACAGCAGAGCCUGUCAGUGCAAUACUGGCCAGAAAUUAGCUGUUAUCUGCAGCAGGAUUCAAGUCUCUGCAAGUACAUGUUUAAUGAAACAUACUAAAAUCUGUAACUUUCUUUAAGGUAGGAAAUCAAUGUUCAAUGUAUUCAAUGGUUUGCAGAGGUAAUAUAAAGUAUAUGCAGUUGAAAAACAUGCAGCAAGCCAGGUAUGUCCUUUAAAUGCUCAAUUUAAAGUCUUUAUUUCCUGCCCGGGUCUGCUCUCCACUAUCGGUUUGCAUGUGGUAUUUAUUACAGUAUCUGCACUGAAUGAAACUGUAUUAUAAACAUGAAUGUACAUAACAGUCGUUAGAUGAAAAAUAACAAUGCGAGUACUCACUUUGCUCCACAGCGGGCAGUUUGUCAGUGGCUGGGUUUACCUCAGGAAUGGACGGUCUAAUUUUUUUUAACACAAAUAGAAACAGAUCUGGUCUGACAGCUGCAGGCAAAACAGGGAACAUUUUUAAAAAGCAAAGCACAUCAGAUCUGAGUCAAAUAAAGUUAAAAAUGUUGGAUUCUUCUGUUCCUGUGUAAAGCCAGUCUGUGUUGUGUGUAUCUAUACAAGGGCAAUGGACAGGGGUGUUAAGUUGUUCGUAAUAAUACAAUGGACCGCUUUCUGGAGAAAAAAACUUUCUUGUUUAUAAUGUAGAGCAAAGAGAGACUGGAAUAGUCCUUGUAAAAUUGUAUGAGUAAAGUGUCAAAUAUGUGUCAACAGAGACAACAUUAUUUUAAAAAUUAUGUAUGGAAAAUUUUAGCUGUGUAUAUAAAUAUAUAUUACUUGUACUUUGUUUUUGAAAUUGCAGAGAUAUGGAAAAAGUGGAAAUAUUUAUUGCUCUAAAGAUAUAAAAAUCUGUUCAUGUGGAUGGAAA